rnacentral:rRNA from 1 species
CAGUAGCCGCGGGAAUACGAAGGGGGCUAGCGUUGUUCGGAUUUACUGGGCGUAAAGCGCACGUAGGCGGACUUUUAAGUCAGGGGUGAAAUCCCGGGGCUCAACCCCGGAACUGCCUUUGGUACUGGAAGUCUUGAGUAUGGUAGAGGUGAGUGGAAUUCCGAGUGUAGAGGUGAAAUUCGUAGAUAUUCGGAGGAACACCAGUGGCGAAGGCGGCUCACUGGACCAUUACUGACGCUGAGGUGCGAAAGCGUGGGGAGCAAACAGGAUUAGAUACCCCAGUAGUCCCUGUCUCUUAUAA